AACGAACGCUGGCGGCAGGCUUAACACAUGCAAGUCGAACGUAUCCUUCGGGAUUAGUGGCAGACGGGUGAGUAACGCGUGGGAACGUACCCUUUGCUACGGAAUAACUCAGGGAAACUUGAGCUAAUACCGUAUGUGCCCUACGGGGGAAAGAUUUAUCGGCAAAGGAUCGGCCCGCGUUGGAUUAGCUAGUUGGUGGGGUAAUGGCCUACCAAGGCGACGAUCCAUAGCUGGUCUGAGAGGAUGAUCAGCCACACUGGGACUGAGACACGGCCCAGACUCCUACGGGAGGCAGCAGUGGGGAAUAUUGGACAAUGGGCGCAAGCCUGAUCCAGCCAUGCCGCGUGAGUGAUGAAGGUCUUAGGAUUGUAAAGCUCUUUCACCGGUGAAGAUAAUGACGGUAGCCGGAGAAGAAGCCCCGGCUAACUUCGUG
rnacentral:rRNA from 1 species